AUUGAACGCUGGCGGCAGGCCUAACACAUGCAAGUCGAACGCGUGGCGGACGGGUGAGUAAUGUCUGGGAAACUGCCUGAUGGAGGGGGAUAACUACUGGAAACGGUAGCUAAUACCGCAUACCAUCGGAUGUGCCCAGAUGGGAUUAGCUAGUAGGUGGGGUAACGGCUCACCUAGGCGACGAUCCCGAGCGGGUCUGAGAGGAUGCCAAGGCACACGGGAACUGAGACAGGGUCAAGACUCCGACGGGAGGCAGAAGUGGGGAAUAUUGCACAAUGGGCGCAAGCCUGAUGCAGCCAUGCGGCGUGUAUGAAGAAGGCCUUCGGGUUGUAAAGUACUGUAAGCGGGGAGGCGUUACCCGCAGAAGAAGCACCGGCUAACUCCGUGCCAGCAGCCGCGGUAAUUC
rnacentral:rRNA from 1 species